AGGAGGGCAGGCUGCUCGGUCCGGGGGACCCUGCCCACAGCCUCCAGGUACAAAGCCGCACCUUCAGCUCCCCUGUUAACAAAGCAAAACAAGAACCUGCGCAGUGCAGAAAGGAACUCGCAGUAGAUCCUCCUUGAACACGUCCUUUAACACAAGAACAGAAGGACACCGACUGCAAUCAAAGAGCAACGCCUCCAAAACAAAUAAGAAGGGAGACCUUGUCUUCUGUGCCGUGGAUCGUUAAUAUGUGCGAUCCAGCUUCAGGGCCAUGGAACCAGACAACUUCGCCGGGCUUUAAAUCGAGACCAUGUAAGGGCCCCUGUCAACAUUAUCCUCCUGGAGCCAGGUCGUGCUGUGGUCUCAGAUCCCAUGCUUUCAGCAUGUGUGGAUUCCUUCUGAGGCACAAGCCCACCUGUCUCAAGUGUAUGCUUCCCAGGCUCCCCGGUGACCAGGUGUGGCCCCAAGGCUACAGGGACGCGAGGAGAACUGCUGUGGGAAACGUCCAGGUCACCUCCUUAAAGGCAUCGUAGAUUCUUUCCCGUCUAGGAGCCCCACCCACAGUGAAGAAAGCCUCAUGUUGAGGGGAGCAGAAGGCCCCCCUUGUCUGAGUCCCCGGGUGACUGCACCAGAGCCCGCAUUUCACCAUGAAUGUCUCUGGAUGGAAUCUCUUCAUUAUAGCUGCUUCAUCAUCCCCCUAAUUAAUUGUAAUCACUGUCAUCAGGACAAUCUUAGAACAGCCAAUGAAAAUUAAAAUGGAGGCCACAGUGGUGGUCUGUUGUCUUUUCCUUGGCCCGGCACUGAUCCACAUUCCUGCAGCUCAGCCCUAGAGAAUAACACCUCUGGCCUGUGGCCCGGUAGGGGCACUUCCCGAUGCUCCCAUCAACCUCUGGUCCAGGCGAAUGGCACAGGGAACCCAACAGCGCACACCCCUGUCUCAAAAGGAGCCAAUGGGAGACCUGCUUUGGGACUUACACUCGAGCUAUCUGAAAAAGUGAGGACACAGCAGGUGUGACGUGAGCAGGAGGAGCUGGCUGCGUCCAACACCCCUUAGGAAGAGCGUCCCUGAGAAUAAAGCCACACGAGGGACAAGAAAAGGAGAGAGCAGACACUUACACUCUCAUUUCUCAUCAGCUGAGCGCCUGUUGUUUAUGAAAAGCUGAAACUGGAAUACUUCUUGACCCUGGAAGAGGUUGGUUAGUAAAGGGAUGAGCGAGGCGAAAAGUCUUCCUUUUCAUGAAAUAACCCAUCUAAUUGUUAGCGAUUCUCUGAAAUACUGUGUCCAGAGGGUCCCAACGCUGUGAGUCGGCAGAAGGUACAAAGGAGUCUUUUAAUGCCCCUGGUCACUGAUAUUAUACAAGGAAUGGCUCUCAUGUGGAGGGAGAAUAAAGCCGCUCUCUGUAUAAAGUGUCCUUUCCGCUACGUGUGCCCAAAGGAACACGGCCUGUGGUGGGAACAGCGAGGACGGACUCAUUGAUCAAUAUCUUCCACACAAGGGCCAGGAGAAAGGCACUGCCAUGCCAACCUUCACGCCCUCCGCAAGAAUCCGCUCAGGCCAUAACUCGACUCCGAGGACCGAGCAAACCACAGCGACGGGGACGCUCCCAAAGGCCGUGUUUACCGAAGGGCCAGAAGAGGUUUCCCGUAAACCGCUGUCCGGGCCCCACUCUUUUGUCCUGUUUUAUACUUUAAUGGCAAUAAACUCCUGUCCGGUAAGUUAUGGGCUUUUCUCACCACCGCGUGACCUCCGAUGUCAGGUGAAACUGCCCCUUGUCAGGGGAAAUGGAUGUGGCCCCGAUGGGACUGGGGUUUUGUUCCGAUCCUUUGGCAAAUGGAUCUGUUUCCUCGGGAACCGGUCCUGGGGCCUUCUUGCCAAGAGCAUCCCUGUCAUCCUGUCCACUCUGGGCAGUAGGUCUGAUGCUGUCUGUCUGAGGAAGACAGGAGACUGGUUUCCCAUCAGGAAAAGGACACAGGAAGUGUUGUUAAACGGGGCGGGGACAGGCAUAUUCAAGUCAGAAAUGUGCCCAGUCGCCCGGCCAGCAUGGCUCAGUGAUUGAGCAUCAACCUAUAAACCAGGAGGUCAUGAUUCGAUUCCUAGUCAGGGCACAUGCCCGGGGUUGUGGGCUUAAUCCCCAGUGUGGGGUGUGCAGGAGGAAGUCGAUCAAUGAUUCCUCUCAUCAUUGAUUUUUUUUCUCUCUCCCUCUCCCUUCCUCUCUGAAUUCAACAAAAAUCUAUAUAUAUAAAAGCCUAAGCGACCAUCUGACCGGUAGCUAUGACCGGUAGCUAUGAUGCGCAAUGACCACCAGGGGGCAGAUACUCAACGUGGGAGCUGCAGAGCUGCGGUGAACCGCCCUCUUGCAAUCUGGGACCCCAUUCACUCCUCAGAUACCCUUGGAGCCACAGCACUGCCCCAGGUGCAGCCAGCCAGGAGGGACCACGGAAUGUUGGCUCCAGGGCAUGUCCUGCCCGUCUUGCCCAGUCCCACCAGCCACCUUCUAAUUAAUUUCCUUUCAGUGUGCAUGAAUCUGUGCACCAGGUCACUAGUACAUUAUUAAAAAAAAAAAAAGAAAAGAAAGAAAUGUGCACAGCAAGGUCAGAGACAUAACAAGCCAAAAACCUGAGCAAACACUUCCCUGAAUAAACAGAGGUAAUGAGGAGGGAAAAAGAAAACAAGGACACAAAUUUCAUAAUGCAAACUAAAAAUGCUUUGCCCACAAAAUGGAUAUUUAUACCCUUACUUCACAUUUCUUGAGAAAUGAAUAUUCCUAUCAGUAAAACACAUGGUAUGUCAGGCGCAACACGGUAACGUGGGCUUAAAACUAAGACCAUGAAGACUUUAAAAGGGAAGUAGAAAAAGAUGCCACGUACGCAGCUGACGACGGGAGGCAUUUUGUGGCCCUCACACUGUGCACGUAUUUCUCAGCCGCAAGAGAAGGCUGAGGCUCGGGAAAUGGCAUUGAUACCGUUUUCCCUGUGAACUGUCUUCGGAUACGGAGUAGCCUGGGGUGCGCCUGGAUCACCAUCCAAUCCACACACAUACACACUGUACAGGCACGUCUCGUAGAUCGAGAAUAACCCACUUUCUCACAUUUGGAAUAAAUGGAACUUGGGUCUGUUUUUCAGUGUCCCCUGUGGUUAUAGCACCGGGGGACGCAGCGAAGACCACGCUGGACACCUAAGGAACACCGGCUCCUCCCACACCCCCACCUGGAGAGACCCCUCCAGGGCCUCCCCAAGCCAGAGCCCUGCCCAGGGAGCCCUGCACAGUCUCAGGAUGGCAUCCGGGGCCCGUUCGACCCUGUGAGGCUCUGACCACACGGUCACCUGCAGGCCCCUCCGGCGGAAGAGGAUAAACAUCCUGCUGUGAGCUGGAGAGCAGGGUGGGAUCCCCACCCUCCACAGCCCACACCAAGGCUCCAAAGACCCAGGGGCUUCCUGUGGCAGGUACAGCCCCGCCAGGUCAACUGCACCUGCUGCAGCCGAUGUGCCUCCCCAGCCAUAUGGUCCCAUUCUUUCAAACAGCCUCUCAUUAAGGCCCCGGGUGACUACCGCCAGGUUACCCAGAGAGGUGAACUAUUUUCAGUAGCUCCUCUGGCCUUUAUACAGACAGUCCUCGGCUACGUCGGACUCGUUGUACGUCGUUUCGUGGUUACAUUGCCAUCUCCCAUUUAUUUAUUAAAAAAAAAA